UCACACCGCAUCAGGGCAUGCAUGGGACAAACCCAACCCAGCCUCACAGGAACAAAGGACACUGGCCCAGGCAGCAACAGAAGGAUCUGUUGGACUGUCGAGUAAGUCACCCUCCUUCCUUUGUCAGUGUUGGACUACUAUGA